rnacentral:tRNA from 1 species
GCCCUUGUAGCUCAGCCGGAUAGAGCAAGCGCCUCCUAAGCGCUAGGUCGGAAGUUCGAAUCUUCUCAAGGGCGCCA